rnacentral:tRNA from 1 species
UCCGGUUGGGUCAAUGGUUGAUCGCUUGUUUUGGGAACAAGAAUAUGGAAGUUCGAUUCUUUCACUGGAGAC